rnacentral:rRNA from 1 species
GAUGAACGCUGGCGGCGUGCCUAAUACAUGCAAGUAGAACGCUGAAGGAGGAGCUUGCUCUUCUGGAUGAGUUGCGAACGGGUGAGUAACGCGUAGGUAACCUGCCUGGUAGCGGGGGAUAACUAUUGGAAACGAUAGCUAAUACCGCAUGACAACAGUUAUUGCAUGAUAACUGUUUAAAAGGGGCAACUGCUCCACUACCAGAUGGACCUGCGUUGUAUUAGCUAGUUGGUGAGGUAACGGCUCACCAAGGCGACGAUACAUAGCCGACCUGAGAGGGUGAUCGGCCACACUGGGACUGAGACACGGCCCAGACUCCUACGGGAGGCAGCAGUAGGGAAUCUUCGGCAAUGGACGGAAGUCUGACCGAGCAACGCCGCGUGAGUGAAGAAGGGUAUCGGAUCGUAAAGCUCUGUUGUAAGAGAAGAACGAGUGUGAGAGUGGAAAGUUCACACUGUGACGGUAGCUUACCAGAAAGGGACGGCUAACUACGUG